GAUGAACGCUGGCGGCGUGCCUAAUACAUGCAAGUCGAGCGAACGGACGAGAAGCUUGCUUCUCUGAUGUUAGCGGCGGACGGGUGAGUAACACGUGGAUAACCUACCUAUAAGACUGGGAUAACUUCGGGAAACCGGAGCUAAUACCGGAUAAUAUUUUGAACCGCAUGGUUCAAAAGUGAAAGACGGUCUUGCUGUCACUUAUAGAUGGAUCCGCGCUGCAUUAGCUAGUUGGUAAGGUAACGGCUUACCAAGGCAACGAUGCAUAGCCGACCUGAGAGGGUGAUCGGCCACACUGGAACUGAGACACGGUAAAGACUCCUACGGGAGGCAGCAGUAGGGAAUCUUCCGCAAUGGGCGAAAGCCUGACGGAGCAAAGCCGCGUGAGUGAUGAAGGUCUUCGGAUAGUAAAACUCUGUUAUUAGGGAAGAACAUAUGUGUAAGUAAAUGUGCACAUCUUGACGGUACCUAAUCAGAAAGAAACGGCUAACUAAGUG
rnacentral:rRNA from 1 species